GCUUCAGAGUUUGAUCCUGGCUCAGGACGAACGCUGGCGGUGUGCCUAAUACAUGCAAGUCGAGCGAAUCGAUGGGAGCUUGCUCCCUGAGAUUAGCGGCGGACGGGUGAGUAACACGUGGGCAACCUGCCUAUAAGACUGGGAUAACUUCGGGAAACCGGAGCUAAUACCGGAUACGUUCUUUUCUUGCAUGAGAGAAGAUGGAAAGACGGUUUACGCUGUCACUUAUAGAUGGGCCCGCGGCGCAUUAGCUAGUUGGUGAGGUAAUGGCUCACCAAGGCGACGAUGCGUAGCCGACCUGAGAGGGUGAUCGGCCACACUGGGACUGAGACACGGCCCAGACUCCUACGGGAGGCAGCAGUAGGGAAUCUUCCGCAAUGGACGAAAGUCUGACGGAGCAACGCCGCGUGAACGAAGAAGGCCUUCGGGUCGUAAAGUUCUGUUGUUAGGGAAGAACAAGUACCAGAGUAACUGCUGGUACCUUGACGGUACCUAACCAGAAAGCCACGGCUAACUACGUGCCAGCAGCCGCGGUAAUACGUAGGUGGCAAGCGUUGUCCGGAAUUAUUGGGCGUAAAGCGCGCGCAGGUGGUUCCUUAAGUCUGAUGUGAAAGCCCACGGCUCAACGGUGGAGGGUCAUUGGAAACUGGGAAACUUGAGGGCAAAAAAGGAAAGUGAAAUUCCAAUUGUAGCGGUAAAAUGCUUAAAAAUUUGAAGAAAACCCCAGGGGCGAAGGCAACUUUCUGGUCGGAAACUGACACUGAGGCGCAAAAGCGGGGGGGAGAAAAAAAGGAUUAAAUCCCCUGGUACCCCCCCCCAAAAACGAUGAGUGCUAAGUGUUAGAGGGCUUCCCCCCUUUUAUUGCUGCAGCUAACGCAUUAACCCCUCCCGCCUGGGGAGUACGGCCGCAAGGUUAAAACUCAAAGGAAUUGACGGGGCCCCCCCACAAGCGGUGGAGCAUAUUUGUUUAAUUCGAAGCAACGCGAAAMAACCUUACCAGGUCUUGACAUCCUCUGACAACCCUAGAGAUAGGGCUUUCCCCUUCGGGGGACAGAGUGACAGGUGGUGCAUGGUUGUCGUCAGCUCGUGUCGUGAGAUGUUGGGUUAAGUCCCGCAACGAGCGCAACCCUUGAUCUUAGUUGCCAGCAUUCAGUUGGGCACUCUAAGGUGACUGCCGGUGACAAACCGGAGGAAGGUGGGGAUGACGUCAAAUCAUCAUGCCCCUUAUGACCUGGGCUACACACGUGCUACAAUGGAUGGUACAAAGGGCUGCAAACCUGCGAAGGUAAGCGAAUCCCAUAAAGCCAUUCUCAGUGCGGAUUGCAGGCUGCAACUCGCCUGCAUGAAGCCGGAAUCGCUAGUAAUCGCGGAUCAGCAUGCCGCGGUGAAUACGUUCCCGGGCCUUGUACACACCGCCCGUCACACCACGAGAGUUUGUAACACCCGAAGUCGGUGAGGCAACCUUCAGGGAGCCAGCCGACUAAGGUGGGACAGAUGAUUGGGGUGAAGUCGUAACAAGGGUAGCCGUA
rnacentral:rRNA from 1 species